rnacentral:rRNA from 1 species
AGAGUUUGAUCCUGGCUUAGGAUGAACGCUAGCGGCAGGCUUAAUACAUGCAAGUCGAGGGGGCAGCAAUGUCACCGGCGAACGGGUGCGUAACGCGUAUGCAACCUACCUACAUCAGGGGGAUAGCCCUAGGAAACUGGGAUUAACACCGCAUAACAAUAGAGUUGGCAUCAACUUUAUUUGAAAUAUUUAUAGGAUGUAGAUGGGCAUGCGUAGGAUUAGCUAGUUGGUAAGGUAACGGCUUACCAAGGCUACGAUCCUUAGGGGCUCUGAGAGGAGUAUCCCCCACACUGGCACUGAGAUACGGGCCAGACUCCUACGGGAGGCAGCAGUAGGGAAUAUUGGGCAAUGGAGGCAACUCUGACCCAGCCAUGCCGCGUGCAGGAAGACGGUCCUCUGGAUUGUAAACUGCUUUUGAAUGGGAAGAAUGUGCUCCUUGCGAGGGGUAAUGACGGUACCAUUAGAAUAAGCCACGGCUAACUACGUGCCAGCAGCCGCGGUAAUACGUAGGUGGCGAGCGUUAUCCGGAUUUAUUGGGUUUAAAGGGUGCGUAGGCGGCUUAAUAAGUCGGUGGUUAAAAGUAGCAGCUUAACUGUUUUACAUGCCAUCGAUACUGUUGAGCUUGAG